AUUGAACGCUGGCGGCAGGCCUAACACAUGCAAGUCGAACGGUAACAGGAAGAAGCUUGCUUCUUUGCUGACGAGUGGCGGACGGGUGAGUCAUGUCUGGGAAACUGCCUGAUGGAGGGGGAUAACUACUGGAAACGGUAGCUACUACCGCAUAACGUCGCAAGCCCAAAGAGGGGGAGCUUCGGGCCUCUUGCCAUGGGAUGUGCCCAGAUGGGAUUAGCUAGUAGGUGGGGUAACGGCUCACCUAGGCGACGAUCCCUAGCUGGUCUGAGAGGAUGACCAGCCACACUGGAACUGAGACACGGUCCAGACUCCUACGGGAGGCAGCAGUGGGGAAUAUUGCACAAUGGGCGCAAGCCUGAUGCAGCCAUGCCGCGUGUAUGAAGAAGGCCUUCGGGUUGUAAAGUACUUUCAGCGGGGAGGAAGGGAGUAAAGUUAAUACCUUUGCUCAUUGACGUUACCCGCAGAAGAAGCACCGGCUAACUCCGUG
rnacentral:rRNA from 1 species